GCGCCUGUAGCUCAGCAGGAUAGAGCGGGGGCCUUCUAAGCCCUGUCUGUCGGGGGUUCGAAUCCUCCCAGGCGCGCCA
rnacentral:tRNA from 1 species